rnacentral:tRNA from 1 species
GUCGUUGUAGUAUAGUGGUGAGUAUUUCCGCCUGUCACGCGGACGACCAGGGUUCGAUCCCCGGCAACGGCG